rnacentral:rRNA from 1 species
CCUACGGGAUGCACCAGUGAGGAAUAUUGGACAAUGGGUGCGAGCCUGAUCCAGCCAUCCCGCGUGAAGGAUGACGGCCCUAUGGGUUGUAAACUUCUUUUGUAUAGGGAUAAACCUACCCUCGUGAGGGUAGCUGAAGGUACUAUACGAAUAAGCACCGGCUAACUCCGUGCCAGCAGCCGCGGUAAUACGGAGGGUGCAGGCGUUAUCCGGAUUUAUUGGGUUUAAAGGGUCCGUAGGCGGAUCUGUAAGUCAGUGGUGAAAUCUCACAGCUUAACUGUGAAACUGCCAUUGAUACUGCAGGUCUUGAGUGUUGUUGAAGUAGCUGGAAUAAGUAGUGUAGCGGUGAAAUGCAUAGAUAUUACUUAGAACACCAAUUGCGAAGGCAGGUUACUAAGCAACAACUGACGCUGAUGGACGAAAGCGUGGGGAGCGAACAGGAUUAGAUACCCGAGUAGUC